rnacentral:rRNA from 1 species
CACGUAGGGGACGAGCGUUGUCCGGAUUCAUUGGGCGUAAAGCGCGCGUAGGCGGCUCGGAAAGUCGGUCGUGAAAUGCCGGGCUCAACCCCGGGACUGCGUCCGAUACUCUCGAGCUGGAGGCAGGUAGGGGAGAUCGGAUUCUGGUGUGAGCGGUGAAAUGCGCAGAUAUCAGGAGGAACACCGGUGGCGAAGGCGGGUCUCUGGGCCACUACUGACGCUGAGAAGCGAAAGCAUGGGGAGCGAACAGGG